rnacentral:rRNA from 1 species
GACGGACGCUGGCGGCGUGCUUAACACAUGCAAGUCGAACGAUGAAGCCUAGCUUGCUAGGUGGAUUAGUGGCGAACGGGUGAGUAAUACGUGAGUAACCUACCUUUAACUCUGGGAUAAGCCUGGGAAACUGGGUCUAAUACCGGAUACGACCAAUCUCCGCAUGGGGUGUUGGUGGAAAGCGUUAUGUAGUGGUUAUAGAUGGGCUCACGGCCUAUCAGCUUGUUGGUGAGGUAACGGCUCACCAAGGCGACGACGGGUAGCCGGCCUGAGAGGGUGACCGGCCACACUGGGACUGAGACACGGCCCAGACUCCUACGGGAGGCAGCAGUGGGGAAUAUUGCACAAUGGGCGCAAGCCUGAUGCAGCGACGCCGCGUGAGGGAUGACGGCCUUCGGGUUGUAAACCUCUGUUAGCAGGGAAGAAGAGAAAUUGACGGUACCUGCAGAGAAAGCGCCGGCUAACUACGUG